AACGAACGCUGGCGGCAUGCCUAACACAUGCAAGUCGAACGUGACCUUCGGGUCUAGUGGCGCACGGGUGCGUAACGCGUGGGAACCUGCCCUUAGGUUCGGAAUAACUCCCCGAAAGGGGUGCUAAUACCGGAUAAUGUCUUCGAACCAAAGAUUUAUCGCCUUUGGAUGGGCCCGCGUUGGAUUAGCUAGUUGGUAGGGUAAAAGCCUACCAAGGCGACGAUCCAUAGCUGGUCUGAGAGGAUGAUCAGCCACACUGGGACUGAGACACGGCCCAGACUCCUACGGGAGGCAGCAGUGGGGAAUAUUGGACAAUGGGCGAAAGCCUGAUCCAGCAAUGCCGCGUGAGUGAUGAAGGCCUUAGGGUUGUAAAGCUCUUUUACCCGGGAUGAUAAUGACAGUACCGGGAGAAUAAGCUCCGGCUAACUCCGUG
rnacentral:rRNA from 1 species